GUCCACGCCGUAAACGAUGGAUGCUAGCCGUCGGAUAGCUUGCUAUUCGGUGGCGCAGCUAACGCAUUAAGCAUCCCGCCUGGGGAGUACGGCCGCAAGGUUAAAACUCAAAGGAAUUGACGGGGGCCCGCACAAGCGGUGGAGCAUGUGGUUUAAUUCGACGCAACGCGAAGAACCUUACCAGCUCUUGACAUUCACUGAUCGCCUGGGGAGACCUGGGAGUCCUAGCAAUAGGCAGUGGGACAGGUGCUGCAUGGCUGUCGU
rnacentral:rRNA from 1 species